rnacentral:rRNA from 1 species
GAACCUGCGGCCUGCUUAUACAUGCAAGUCGAGCGGACCGACUGGAGCUCGCUCCCUUCAGUCACCGGCGGACGGGUGAGUAACACGUGGGUAACCUGCCUGUAAGACUGGGAUAACUCCGGGAAACCGGGGCUAAUACCGGAUGCUUGAUUGAACCGCAUGGUUCAAUCAUAAAAGGUGGCUUUUAGCUACCACUUACAGAUGGACCCGCGGCGCAUUAGCUAGUUGGUGAGGUAACGGCUCACCAAGGCGACGAUGCGUAGCCGACCUGAGAGGGUGAUCGGCCACACUGGGACUGAGACACGGCCCAGACUUAAACGGGAGGCAGCAGUAGGGAAUCUUCCGCAAUGGACGAAAGUCUGACGGAGCAACGCCGCGUGAGUGAUGAAGGUUUUCGGAUCGUAAAACUCUGUUGUUAGGGAAGAACAAGUACCGUUCGAAUAGGGCGGUACCUUGACGGUACCUAACCAGAAAGCCACGGCUAACUACGUGCCAGCAGCCGCGGUAAUACGUAGGUGGCAAGCGUUGUCCGGAAUUAUUGGGCGUAAAGCGCGCGCAGGCGGUUUCUUAAGUCUGAUGUGAAAGCCCCCGGCUCAACCGGGGAGGGUCAUUGGAAACUGGGGAACUUGAGUGCAGAAGAGGAGAGUGGAAUUCCACGUGUAGCGGUGAAAUGCGUAGAGAUGUGGAGGAACACCAGUGGCGAAGGCGACUCUCUGGUCUGUAACUGACGCUGAGGCGCGAAAGCGUGGGGAGCGAACAGGAUUAGAUACCCUGGUAGUCCACGCCGUAAACGAUGAGUGCUAAGUGUUAGAGGGUUUCCGCCCUUUAGUGCUGCAGCAAACGCAUUAAGCACUCCGCCUGGGGAGUACGGUCGCAAGACUGAAACUCAAAGGAAUUGACGGGGGCCCGCACAAGCGGUGGAGCAUGUGGUUUAAUUCGAAGCAACGCGAAGAACCUUACCAGGUCUUGACAUCCUCUGACACCCUAGAGAUAGGGCUU